GAAAAUAAAGGAAAUGAGAUAAAUAUAUGAUAUAUAAUCUCUUGGCAUUUAUUUAUCUCGAUUUGGUAGCAGCACGCAAAUCUCUCGCUAUAUAUUAAAACCUUAUUAUGAAAUCCGGUUGUAAUAUGUGACACUGACAGAAGUUAAUGGAACACUAUUACCAGAAAGCAGGCGCGUAGCAGGCCCUUUGCAUUCGCGGAUACAUGCUCGCAUGUCCCCGUCGUACCCGGAACGUGUUAGAACGGAAUCUCGCGUUAAGCACGAAGUCGCGAAGUUGAAGACCUAAGUGAGAGAAAUCGGCUCGGUGUGACGUUGAAAACAGCAGCGGCCUGGCGACUCUCGCGAGGAAAACACGCCUCAACACGCUCGAAAUGUUCCCGUAAUAAUAUCACAUUUACCGAUCAGAAUGGCGAACAAGAACGCACGGAAGGCGUUCGGAGUUUUCAAGGAGGAGUUUCUUUUAAGAGAGAAA